CUACGGGGCGCUGCAGUGAGGAAUAUUGCACAAUGGGGGGAACCCUGAUGCAGCAACGCCGCGUGGAGGAUGACGCAUUUCGGUGUGUAAACUCCUUUUAUAUGUCAAGAAAAUGACGGUAGCAUAUGAAUAAGCACCGGCUAACUCCGUGCCAGCAGCCGCGGUAAUACGGAGGGUGCAAGCGUUACUCGGAAUCACUGGGCGUAAAGGACGCGUAGGCGGGUUGGAAAGUCAGGUGUGAAAUCCUACAGCUUAACUGUAGAACUGCACUUGAAACUUCUAAUCUAGAGUAUGGGAGGGGGAGAUGGAAUUAGUGGUGUAGGGGUAUAAUCCGUAGAUAUCACUAGGAAUACCUAAAGCGAAGGCGAUCUCCUGGAACAUUACUGACGCUAAGGCGUGAAAGCGUGGGGAGCAAACAGGAUUAGAUACCCCCGUGUC
rnacentral:rRNA from 1 species